rnacentral:tRNA from 1 species
GAGGGUAUAGCUCAGUGGUAGAGUGUGUGCUUAGCAUGCACAAAGUCCUGGGUUCAUUCCCCAGUACCUCUU